GAAAUGCGAUAAGUAAUGUGAAUUGCAGAAUUCAGUGAAUCAUCGAAUCUUUGAACGCACAUUGCGCCCGCCAGUAUUCUGGCGGGCAUGCCUGUCCGAGCGUCAUUUCAACCAUCAAGCCCCCGGGCUUGUGUUGGGGACCUGCGGCUGCCCGCAGGCCCUGAAAACCAGUGGCGGGCUCGCUGUCACACCGAGCGUAGUAGCAAUCACCUCGCUCAGGGCGUGCUGCGGGUUCCGGCCGUUAAACAGCCUUACAAAUCCCAAGGUUGACCUCGGAUCAGGUAGGAAGACCCGCUGAACUUAAGC
rnacentral:misc_RNA from 1 species